GGGGAGAAGGAGGAAAGCAAUGCCUAAAACUUGCCUAUAUUAUCAAAACUCCUUUAGUCACAAAUCCAAAACACAGCACCAUAUCAGCUGUGUAUGAAAAACGUAUCUCUCAUCACAGCCAUAAACCAUCAGAGCAUUUAACCAAGUUAUUUGACCUAGUAUUUUUCAGGACUUGCAGCAGACCUAGGCUUUUUUUGAGUAGUCUCCAGAACCCUGUCUGGAUACCUAUGGCAUCUCAUAUGACAUCAGCAUACAACCAUACAGAGAUGUCAUUCAGAGCCCAGCCCUGGAAUACACCAGCUGUGAACCAGAGUUUGAUGUCAUGCACAAACUUGAUAAAGGAUGGAGCAACACUGUACACAUUUACAGACUGGGAGAGGAGUGGCUGGAGGGCAGCGCUGCAGAAAGGGAUCUGGGGAUGCUAGUCAGCAGCAGCUCUGUGCGAGUCAGCAGAAGGAAAUUGCCGUAAGAUAAACCACCACAGGGGGAACUUAACCACAUCUCUCUGCCCUCCUCACAUUUACUGUUAAAUAAAAUCCGUGUUAUUGACUUA